UUUUGGUGACGUUGCAAUUGAAGUGAAAUAUGGAUCGUUGGCGUCGAAAUGGCUUCAACAAGCCAGAACAAGGUUGUUGAGAAGGACCAAGAGCAGAGAGACUAUGCCUCAUGAAGCUCAAAUCGAGGACGAUAGCAGUUCAAAGUAAAAAUAUAUAAUUAGUUAUAAAUUAAAAGUUCAAUUUUUGUAAUAUUUAAUAAAAAUCAUUGCAUUUUAUUGAAAA